UGGGGAAUUUUGGACAAUGGGCGAAAGCCUGAUCCAGCAAUGCCGCGUGUGUGAAGAAGGCCUUCGGGUUGUAAAGCACUUUUGUCCGGAAAGAAAUCCUUGGCUCUAAUACAGUCGGGGGAUGACGGUACCGGAAGAAUAAGCACCGGCUAACUACGUGCCAGCAGCCGCGGUAAUACGUAGGGUGCAAGCGUUAAUCGGAAUUACUGGGCGUAAAGCGUGCGCAGGCGGUUUGCUAAGACCGAUGUGAAAUCCCCGGGCUCAACCUGGGAACUGCAUUGGUGACUGGCAGGCUAGAGUAUGGCAGAGGGGGGUAGAAUUCCACGUGUGAGCAGUGAAAGUGCGUAGAGAUGUGGAGGAAUACCGAUGGCGAAGGCAGCCCCUGGCCAAUACUGACGCUCAUGCACGAAAGCGUGGGGAGCAAACAGGAUU
rnacentral:rRNA from 1 species